UCUUUAAAGGAUAAGAAAAAUCAAUUAAACGUAAAUCAAUCUAAAAUCCUGCCUCCUUUUCCUUAAAGAAGUACAGUAUCAAUUGAUAAAGUAGUUAAUAAAUCUACACAAAAUAUUUUACAUGAAAACAAUUUUAAUCCUACGAACAACACAUACAGUAAUGGUGAGUAAUAAAAUUUAUAAAUAAACUAUAUGACACAAAAAAUUAUUAAUAACUUUUUACUCUUUAGAUACAAAUAAAAAAGCAACUUGAUAAAAAUAAACUUUGUAUGCAAGAUUCUCCAAAAAAUAUCGAAAAAGAAAAUUUUUAUGCUGAUGGUAUUUACUAUAAAAAUAAAUUAUUAAAUUUUUUAUUUCUUUUAUUAAAAAGCUGUGCUGAGAAAUGUAUGUCUAUGCGCGUGUGUCUAGUUAUUGUAUGAUAGUGUUACGGCCGUGCUAUUUGUAAUGUGUUACCGUGUAGCUUUUUUAUUCGAUAUUAAUGAGUUGACGGUUGCUUGUUAGCGACGCUUGUUGCUAUGCUGUUUUUGUCUGAAGCCUCGUUUGGUAACGGACGUGUUUCAAUAAACGUCUGAGUUUCUUUAAAAGUCUGCUCAAUCAUUUAUUGUACGCGAGUGCCUUUUUGUGCGAGAGUGCGCGUGAGUGUCCUAUGCCACCGACGGACGUAACAAUAUUUAGCAUUUUAAAUAUUGUACCAUAACAACAUUACUAAAAUAUAUAAUAAAUUUAUUUCAGAUUUAACUAAACAAAUUACAGGAAAAAUUAACAAAGUAUUAUAUAAAUUGGAUAAUAUUGAAAAUAGAUUUGAUAUUUAUUAGAGGAAAAAAUACAACCUUCCAGGCAUUACAAUGAUUCAGAAUUCGAUAUCCAGUUCCCGAUAUCUACAUUUACUGAAUUGAUAAACUUUGAGGAACAAUUGAAAGAAACUACUGUCACGAGUGGCGAAAGCCACCGCUGACGAAACAAUUAAUUACAAAAUACAAUUUGUUUAUAUUAUGCCACCGGUAUCGGUAAUGCCGACAUCAUGACACAGUAACCGAUACCAGGAACGCUGAAUAGGCGACCUUCUCGAGUGGACAACAGAUCUGCUAAAUCUGCAAGGCCAGAUCGGCCAGCUCUCCAAUAACUAGAGAGCCAACGACAGACGCGGUAGACUCAGGUUAAAGCACGCGACAGUCUAUUUCGGUACUAUCUUACCUAUCUCAAAUAAAAGGCAGUGUAACAAACUAUAAUAAAGAACUUUAUUAUUAACCGUACAACGAGUGUUUAAUUCAAACGUCUCCGAUCGACGGGCUCCUGCCAAACGAAUCCGAGGAAAUCACGCAUAACACCACAUUUGAGGACAAAGUACUUCGCAUUUUAAAAAGUGUUGGUGGGUUUAAUGCACAUACUAUGGUAAGAAGUAUUUUGAAAAAAGUAACAGUAGAUCCUUUAGCGCAAAAUUUUAACUGGACUGGCAAAAACAAUAAGUGUUGUUUCAAAGAUUUAAGUCUUUCUAAAGUGAUCGUAUAGACUGUUCGUGUAACAUAUCAAUUAACGGAAAGUGACAUUGCAGACUACAUAUCAAAACGGCUUGCUCAAGCUUCUGUAAGAAUUCAAAGAAAUAAGUAUGUAUACGUAUGUUUUCUCUGUUAGGAAUGUCAUGAUUAUAUAUAGAUUAAUCAGAUUUCUUGGUUUGGAAUUUAAUCAAAUUAAAAUUGAUUUAUAGCAAUAUAGAAUAAGCAAUAGUCAGAUGUCACUUUUUCGUUCAUGCUGAAUCAAUGCUGAAAAAAUUAUAAAUAUAUUAUCUGAAUAUUAUAUGUAAAAUUCUUUAGAAUAUUAUAAUUUUGUUAUUACACUCAAACGAAAAAAUCUAAUUGAAACAUUUGUAGAAUAUAGUUAAUUAUUGAUUUAAUUAAAUGUAUAACUUUGAUCUUUAUACUGAUGUUUCAGAGAUACUCAAGAAAAAAUCAAAGAAGUUAAAAUAUAUAUAUGCAUAUAAUAUAUAUAUAUAUAUAUAUAUAUAUAUAUAUAUAUAUAUAUAUAUAUAUAUAUAUUUACUACGUUUACUACGUUUAAAUGAAAACGUAGUAAAUAUAUAUAUUAUACUAUAUAUAUAUUGUAACGAUAGCUCGUUACGAAGGUAUAAUAUUAUGUCUCUCUCGCUCUCACGCCCGAUCGCGGAAUGUCGGUCCGUCUCUUUCGCUCGCGCGCUCUGGCCACAUGACAUCGGUAUCGUUCUCCGUCUCGCUCGCUCUCACACCCGGUCGCGUGACGUCAGGCGUAACAUCGGGCAAGCAUGUGAGCGUGGGUGCGCGCCGAAAGUGGGGAAACCACGAGUUAAACUGCGUCAAAUCUACACGAAAUUAGGUGCAAUGCGCAUGUUGUUGGUACUCGUAUUACCGCGGUAUACACGUUUCAGUGAAAGUGCAAAUAACUUAACACAUAAGUAUUUAGUUCACUAUCAUUCUAUCAUUUUUUUAUGCUACGCGCGUGAUACACAGCUUUUGAUAUUAAAAAUUACACAUUUACUUGAUAUACACAUAAUUCUUGAUAACUGUCAAAACGUGAUCUCCACGAUGACAGUAGCUCAUGAAGUAAGCACAGCAUGAGAACUAAUCAGCAUUACGAAAUAUAUUUUUUUCAUCAACGGUAUUUCGGACACGGUAAUUGGUAAAUCUGUGGAAACGGGUACACGAUAAUUUGUACAUGACCACGGUGACAAGCGCAUUCCGUUUUCAUUAAUUUUAAUAUUAAUACAAUUGCAUUUUGUUAAUAAUAGAUGGAUUUAUAUAUUCUUUUAGUUCUUUUAUAAACGUUAAGAAAAAAAAGUUUAAACUUUUCAUUCAUUUAUUUUUUUUAAGAUGCAUUAAAGUUGGGAUUUUCAGAAAACGCCACGAUAAUAGGUGCACUUACCCUAGAACAGUAGACAAAAAAAAUAUUAGAAAUCUUACAAUCAAUGCAUACUUUGAAUCUUUUUGGAUUGAAAGCAUUAGUUGGAGACUAUCCUCAAAUUAUGCAUUCAACAUAUGAAUUGUCCUCACAUUAUGCAUUGGACAUACCUGACGGAAGUGUCCCCGAAUUAUACUUUCUACAUGUCUUAUGGAUAUACAAUGUGCUCAAAUUAAACAUUCUAUUUCUAUACUUUUAAAAUACAUUUUGUCCUCAAAGUACGAGUUAUAUAUUUAUGUUUUACAAAAACAUUAUAUAAUGUUAACUCUGGACAAAGUACAUUAUAAAAGUAUAGAGAUAGAAUGUUUAAUUUGAGAACAUUAUAUUCCCAUGAAAUAUGUCGAGUGUAUAAUUCGAGGACAUCCUUGGUAAAAAUUCCAUUAGAAAUGGAUAGAUUCCGUAAUAAACGUUAUUUCAACAUUUUAUCCAUUUUUUUAUUAUUUUACUGCACAAUUCUUUCCCUGUUAUUAUAGAAUCUAUCCGCUUCUAAUGGAAUUUUUAGCAGGGACUUCCAUUUGAUAUGUCAAACGUACAAUUUGAGGACAACAUGUUGCACAUAUAAUUUGACUUAUACAUUCACUAAACAGUUUUAGGAAGCAACAAACACAUAUAUAAAAUUAUUUACUAUUAUCAAUAAUAUACUCACUAUGACUACAUUAACUACGUCAUUUAAAAAAAAAAAUUGUGCAAAUUUUAUUUUCGUUUUAAAAGAACUUUUAGCAAAUUUUUUAUAGAAAAAAACCAAAAUGUAUGAGCGCGAAUUAUAGAUUUCUUUUGCUUUUAUUAUCUAAGCAAAUCAUGUUUUUAUAAGGUUAAUAUAAUAAAAUAUUUAGUCUUCAAGAAAUAAAAUUUUCAACGAAAGAAAUGCUGUCAGCAUUUAAUAUUUCGGAGUCAUCUAUAUCAUUAGCUUCAGUAUCGUUAGCGUCAAUAAUAUUAACUUCGAUAUCAUUUGCUUCAAUAUUAUCAUUUAUAUCUAUUUCAGCAGUAAAAAUAAUUUAUUAUAAAUUAAAAAGGAAUGAUUUAUUUAAAUUGUUCAAAAAUAUUAAUGAGGGAGGGCGUGCAAGCCUGUGUGCUUUUGUACACAUGUGUGUGUAUAUACUCGUAUUUAUACCUAUAUUCUUAUUUUCUACAGUUAUGAUUUCUGAUUCUUCUGCUUCAAAUUUAUCAUUGUUUGUAUCAAUUUCAGCUGUAAUAAUGGAUAAAUUUAAUUUUUAAAUAAAUUAGGAAGCUUAAUAAGAUGCUAUUCCAGACAACACACAAUAUUUAUGAUAUUUAUAAAUAUGUAUUAAUAUUUACUUUUAUAUUUAUCAUAUAAAUAUUUUAUAAAUAUUUUAUACAAAAAAAGGGAAAAAAUUAUAAAAUUGUUAUUGCAAUAUUGAAAAUGUUAUUAAAUAUAGUAUGUAUUUCAUAAAUAUUUUUAUGUAACAUCUGUAAUAAAUGUUUAUGAUCUAUUCAAUCUGAAAUCACAAAAGUGUCUAUGAAAUAUUAUCCUACAUAUUUAGAAAAUAUUCAAAUAAUUAUUAUAGAUAUGUAAUUUUUUAUAAAAAUUGAAUGCUAUCAGACAUGACAUAUGUAAACUGUAGUAUAUUCUUUGCGUUAUGAUGCAAUCUUGCGUCAAUCUUAGAGUUAUGAUAAGAUUACUUAUAAUAAGUUUGUGCAAAUUUUUUUUUAUAUUUAUCCAUAAAGUACUUACUUUGUAA